rnacentral:rRNA from 1 species
GCGGCGAACGGGUGAGUAACGCGUGGGCAACCUGCCCCCCAGACUGGGAUAACAGCUCGAAAGGGCUGCUAAUACCGGAUACGCCUCAGGUGCCGCAUGGCAGAUGAGGGAAAGUGUUAUAGCGCUGGGGGAUGGGCCCGCGUCCCAUUAGCUAGUUGGUGAGGUAACGGCUCACCAAGGCGACGAUGGGUAGCCGGCCUGAGAGGGUGGACGGCCACACUGGGACUGAGACACGGCCCAGACUCCUACGGGAGGCAGCAGUAGGGAAUAUUGCGCAAUGGGGGGAACCCUGACGCAGCGACGCCGCGUGAGCGAAGAAGGCCUUCGGGUCGUAAAGCUCUGUCCUAUGGGAAGAAUAGGACGGUACCAUAGGAGGAAGCCCCGGCUAACUACGUGCCAGCAGCCGCGGUAAUACGUAGGGGGCGAGCGUUGUCCGGAAUUACUGGGCGUAAAGGGUGCGUAGGCGGAUAUGCAAGUCCGAUGUGAAAGACUUCG